UCUCUGCAAUUUUAUUGCCAUUCGGCAUCUCUUUUCACUUUGUGAUCUUGUUUUUCUGUGCUAGACCGAUCCAUGUAACUACAGGUUUUGAAUCUCCUUGAGUGGUAAUGCAUGAUAUUAAACGUCGUAUUGCUAUAAAAAAAUACAAUGAAAUGGCGAAUAAUAAUUAAACAAAUGUCAAUUAGUCGAUUUUUCAUUUAUGUAUAUAUGUCUGUAAACUGUUCGAUGCACAAAUCCUCUCACGUAGAUA
rnacentral:lncRNA from 1 species